GAUAGGUGGGAGGCUUUGAAGUGUGGACGCCAGUCUGCAUGGAGCCGACCUUGAAAUACCACCCUUUAAUGUUUGAUGUUCUAACGUGGACCCGUAAUCCGGGUUGCGGACAGUGUCUGGUGGGUAGUUUGACUGGGGCGGUCUCCUCCUAAAGAGUAACGGAGGAGCACGAAGGUUGGCUAAUCCUGGUCGGACAUCAGGAGGUUAGUGCAAUGGCAUAAGCCAGCUUGACUGCGAGCGUGACGGCGCGAGCAGGUGCGAAAGCAGGUCAUAGUGAUCCGGUGGUUCUGAAUGGAAGGGCCAUCGCUCAACGGAUAAAAGGUACUCCGGGGAUAACAGGCUGAUACCGCCCAAGAGUUCAUAUCGACGGCGGUGUUUGGCACCUCGAUGUCGGCUCAUCACAUCCUGGGGCUGAAGUAGGUCCCAAGGGUAUGGCUGUUCGCCAUUUAAAGUGGUACGCGAGCUGGGUUUAGAACGUCGUGAGACAGUUCGGUCCCUAUCUGCCGUGGGCGCUGGAGAACUGAGGGGGGCUGCUCCUAGUACGAGAGGACCGGAGUGGACGCAUCACUGGUGUUCGGGUUGUCAUGCCAAUGGCACUGCCCGGUAGCUAAAUGCGGAAGAGAUAAGUGCUGAAAGCAUCUAAGCACGAAACUUGCCCCGA
rnacentral:rRNA from 3 species